AUGAAGAAUGACAAGUGAUUUACAGCUACUGAGAGAGGGAGAACUUGUUUUUCCCUGGCAUGAGAUCUUCAGACUGCUUAUCUAAUACCAAGUAGGAAGCUCUUGAAACAUGUACACGCAAACAACACUGAAGGGACCCAGCAAGCUGCAUAUAUGUGUCUCUUCAUUUAUAUGUCUUUUAGGUUUCGAGCACAGUUCAGCUGAGAGCCAUUGGGAUGAGGACACAGAAGCUUCCAGUCUGAGGAAACAAGAUCAGCUGAGAAGUUGGCCAGACACUAACGCCCGAAUGGACAGAGAGAACCGGUCAGACUUACCUCAGAUCUCCUUCCCCUGUUCAAGUACGUGCACACUGGGCUGAAAGCUCCACUGCCGCAGACAUACAGGUGAGUACGGUUGAAGGCCUGAAUAACACGGACGAAAUUCCCACAGCCGUGCUGGCAAAAGGAAGCAACAGUGAGACCACGUCCUAACGCCACCUCCAGCAGCUCUACUACCCUAAGACGUCAUGUGGGAGGUGACAUCUGGAAACACUCAAUUAACUUAUAGAAAUAGGAAAUCAAAUAUUGAGACUGGGCAUCAGAAAAAAUCCAGCUGUUCAGUAAUACUUAUAACACUGUUCCAGAAAGAGUGCCUCAACUGAGAUUUGCCAAACAUAAGCUGGGUGAUUUCAGAACUCUGGGUGUUUUCAGUGAACAGAACAGACAAAACCUUUAUUCUUACAGAGUUCGGAUUGGACAAACAUUGCUGUUUCUAUUUAAUCUCUUGUAACUCUAAGACUUCAUGAAAAUGCUCUCAACACAUCCAUACAUCCAAUUUAGACAUGUUCCUCUGCACAUUUUCUUUCUAACUUUUCAUUGUUAUUGUGAAGAGACAUCAUUGAAGAUACAAUAAGAGAACAAUUUGGUUUAUUCCAUUCAUCAGUCUUGGGAACAAGCAGCCUACCUCGUGUAUCAAUUCAAGUGAUUUUUUUCUCAUA